GGACAGAUGGCCGAGCGGUCUAAGGCGCUACGUUCAGGUUCUUUCACCCUCUCCAGGGUGAUCGACACUCGCUUCGUAGUCUCGCAAGAGGCGUGGGUUCGAAUCCCACUCUGUUCA